GCAGGUUUAGAAAUAUUAGCUGGGUCCUGACGACUUUCUCUGUCGAAGCAAGGAGAUCCUCCUCUUCUUCCGCCAUGAUGAAGAAACUGAUGUCCAAAAAAGUGAAAUGAUUUGCCCAGGAUCAUAAAGGCAAAAGAAGAAUGAGUUACCCUAAGCCCUGCUUCUGAGAGUUCCAGGCAGUAUUUGUUCCUUUCUCUUGUUUCCACAUUGAUAUAUGCAACAUCAUCUGAACAAGGCAGGCUUUUGGAGACAAACAUGUUGCUAACAG